UACGUAGGGAGCAAGCGUUGUCCGGAAUUACUGGGCGUAAAGAGCUCGUAGGUGGUUUGUCGCGUUGUUCGUGAAAACUCACAGCUUAACUGUGGGCGUGCGGGCGAUACGGGCAGACUGGAGUACUGCAGGGGAGACUGGAAUUCAUAGUGUAGCGGUAAAAUGCGUUGAUAUUAUGGAGAACACCAAAAGCGAAGGCAGCAGACUGGAGCACUCCUGACACUGAAACAAGAAAGCGUGGGUCGCGAAUGGG
rnacentral:rRNA from 1 species